GAUGAACGCUAGCUACAGGCUUAACACAUGCAAGUCGAGGGACCGGCGCACGGGUGAGUAACACGUAUCCAACCUGCCCUUUACUCGGGGAUAGCCUUUCGAAAGAAAUAUUACUACCUGAUAAAAAGGAUGGGGAUGCGUUCCAUUAGGUUGUGGGUGAGGUAACGGCCCACCAAGCCUUCGAUGGCUAGGGGUUCUGAGAGGAAGGUCCACCACAAUGGAACUGAGGCACGGUCCAAACUCCUACGGGAGGCAGCAGUGAAGAACACUGGUCAAGGGGUGGUAGCCUGAACCAGCCAAGUAGCGUGCAGGAGGACGGCCUAGGGGUGGUAAACUGCUUUUAUAUGGGGAUAGUUACCAUAUGAAUAAGGACCGGCUAAUUCCGUGCCAGCAGCCGCGGUAAUAC
rnacentral:rRNA from 1 species